GGGGAAGUAGCUCAGUGGUAGAGCGUCAGAUUUAAAAGCUGAAGGUCGCAGGUUCGAUUCCUGCCUUCCCCA
rnacentral:tRNA from 1 species